GUGCUUGCUUUGGCAGCAUAUAUACUAAAGUUGGAAUGAUACAGAGAAGAUUAUCAUGACCCUUGUGCAAGGAUGACCCACAAAUUUGUAAGUGUUCCAUAUUUUU
ensembl:snRNA U6 U6 spliceosomal RNA